UCUUCUUCUUCACCUUCUUUUCAGUUCCAUAAUAAUGUCAACUUAGUUGCUACAAAAAAAAUCAUACGAAAUUUUACGCUGUUGCUAUGUAUGAAUUGAAAAAACAGGGCUAAAAUUAUGCAAAAAAAAAUCAUAAAAUUGAAUAUUUAAGCUUCAGUUCUUGUUAGUAAUAAGGUGAAUCUUUCAAUUUCCUGUAACUAGGGUUUGUUCUGGCUUUCUAUCCAAGUCCAAGUAGCAACAGUGACUAUUUCAUGGCAGGCAAUGGCCUGCCAUCUUUAGGUCGUGUAAAGCUUACUGAUCUUAUUCCUUGUGAAGGCUUACCUUCUGAUUCUUACAAAUUAUCAGUCUCCACUUUGUCCCAGUCACUUGCUCAAUAUUCGGCUGCCAUUGUUCAGUUCUCCGGUAUUGAUGGCGCUCUUUUAAGAUCUUGUUUGGAUUCCGCUCGCCUUUAUUUUCAUCAAAAACCGUCGUCAUCAUACGCGUCUCCGGAUAUAAUUAAUGACUCUCGCGAGUGGUGUAAAACGUCUGGCUAUUACGCCGAUCCUCAGUUUUGGCAUGAGAUUUAUGAUUAUAGACCGGGGUUAAGUCCUAGUGAGGUCAAUAAUGCUAUGAGUUUGGAGUUUCCGCCUGCUGGUUUGCCGGAUAUUUUCCAGUUGCUUGGGAAAGCUGCUAGGGAUAUACUUGAUGCUAUUAGUUUCUAUUUGAAUCUGCGUAGUUCGCCUUUUAGUGAGAUUCUUGAUAAUGUUCCGUUGAGGAAUCGUGAAAUAUCGUCUUCUGUGUUGUCGAUUUGUUGUCAUGGUAGACCAUCGUUUCAGAUUCAGGGUGCUCAACAUCAUAGUUUAAACGCUCAAGAGGAUGGUCAGCUUGUUAAUGUUAUGUAUCCUGAUCAUGAGAAUCAAGUUGAUAAGAGCCUUAUAUCUCUUGUUAAGUCGGAUAGUGUUGGUUUACAUGUUCGAGAUUUUCAUGGUCGGUGGGUUCUUUUGGACGGAGAUCUCGGUCCUCAAGAUGUUGUUGUUUACCCCGGACUUGCUCUCUACCAGGCAACUGCUGGCUACAUCAACCCCGCUUUGCAUAGAACAGAGAUUAGUAAUAACUUGCAAGGGAAUAUGUAUGGGCGAUGUUCAUUGGCUUUUAAACUCAUGCCUAAGUCUAUGACCAGUCUCAGUUGUUCCGAGAUGAGAGCAGCUGGUCACGGUGUUGAAGCCCAGUUCCAGUUACCAGUGCCUGUGGAUGACUUCAUGCAGAGAUCUCAUUUACCUGAUCAGCUCUUUAACAGACAGUCUCUACAGAGUUUCAGUUUCCCAAUGUCCCAAGAUGGAUCUGUGAAGCCCAUGACGAGGAGGAGGAAGAACAAUUCAAGAUGCAAACCUUUGCCGCCUUCAAAGAGGCUAAGACUCGAGGCCCAGAGAGUUCUCAAGGAAAGAGUACAGGAUAUUGCUGAUAAGAAGGGUAUCAAGCUAAGGUUUUGCACCCCAAAGGAGUGUGAGAAUAAUCACAUUCAUUCAUUAGAUAGUCCGUGUGCCAAUAUUAGAAUGGAGAUCGGGUGGCCUCCUGGGGUGCCAUUUGUUCAUCCCCAUGAUUUGCCUAACAAAGCGAAGAUCGGUUUCCUUGAAGCAUAUGAACCGGGAUGGACAGCAACUCAUGGUACGGAGUUGAAUCUGACCGAACCUGGACAAGGCAGUCAACACUCAGCCAACUGUAAUAACUUACCUCUUUAUGCUCAAGACUUAUAACACAUACACAUGAAUGCAUUCGCAUGCUGAAACAAAAACAUUAGACAUAAAAAUCGUUGCCUGAAAUCUCCCAAGGAAUUGAUUUCUACAUUUUCCAGUAUGGGAAAUCCCCAAUCAGCUCCUGAGUUGUUUUUUUUGACAGAAUUGAUCUCCAUGUUUUACCAUCUGCUGUGGGUUGACCAGCUGGUGGUUGCAGUACUGAAAUCAUAGUUGUACUAAUGUGUACUUCAUCUCUUAUCAAUCCUUUUCUAUGUAUUUUGACUGCUCAUCUCAUGCAGGUUUGAUGCAAUUCUGUUUCAGUUCUAAAUUAAUAUGGGGAAAGUGGCAGUUUGAAAAUUGUACAAAAAUCUGUAGUCACUUAACUUCCAAAAUCUAAUUGAUUAGAUGCCACUUUUAGUGAGCACUGUUGUUUCUUUUGUAUCUAUAAGAAUUGUAUGCUUAACCUUGGCAGGCUUGAAUGGUAACAAACGAGUUAAAAUUGAUGAUCUAUUCGUUAUUUCUGUUA